UACGUAGGGCGCAAGCGUUGUCCGGAAUUAUUGGGCGUAAAGAGCUCGUAGGCGGUUUGUCACGUCGGAUGUGAAAGCCCGGGGCUUAACCCCGGGUCUGCAUUCGAUACGGGCAGACUAGAGUGUGGUAGGGGAGAUCGGAAUUCCUGGUGUAGCGGUGAAAUGCGCAGAUAUCAGGAGGAACACCGGUGGCGAAGGCGGGUCUCUGGGCAACAACUGACGCUGAGGAGCGAAAGCGUGGGGAGCGAACAGG
rnacentral:rRNA from 1 species